AACGAACGCUGGCGGCAGGCUUAACACAUGCAAGUCGAGCGCCCCGCAAGGGGAGCGGCAGACGGGUGAGUAACGCGUGGGAAUCUACCCAUCUCGACGGAAUAACGCAUGGAAACGUGUGCUAAUACCGUAUACUUCCUUCGGGAGAAAGAUUUAUCGGAGAUGGAUGAGCCCGCGUUGAAUUAGCUAGUGGGUGGGGUAAAGGCCUACCAAGGCGACGAUCCAUAGCUGGUCUGAGAGGAUGAUCAGCCACACUGGGACUGAGACACGGCCCAGACUCCUACGGGAGGCAGCAGUGGGGAAUAUUGGACAAUGGGCGCAAGCCUGAUCCAGCCAUGCCGCGUGAGUGAUGAAGGCCCUAGGGUUGUAAAGCUCUUUCACCGGUGAAGAUAAUGACGGUAACCGGAGAAGAAGCCCCGGCUAACUUCGUGCCAGCAGCCGCAGUAACAC
rnacentral:rRNA from 1 species